UCCGCGGAGCUGGCCCCGCCGCCGGCGCCGGAGAUGGGAGAGAGAGCUCGGAGAGGGGGAGGAGAGAAAGAGAGGAGAGAGGGAAAAGAGAGGGGUGCUGACAGUGAGAGAGGAGAGAGCGGGGAAAAGCAAUAAAAAAGCUGUCACCUUUUUUUCGUGGGACCCACGUGAGGCAACAUGUACCGUGGGAGAUGUAGCUUCGUCCUACGUAGCAAGUU
rnacentral:lncRNA from 1 species